rnacentral:misc_RNA from 1 species
GGCGAUUCUGCAGUCCACGGCGGAGGAAAACGAUGGCUUCUACAGAGUCGUCUAGUUCUGCUCGAAAAGUGGUUGUCCUGCUGAGAGCUACUGGGGAUGCUCCCAUUCUCAAACAAACCAAGUUUAAGAUGCCCGGAACAGACAAAUUUAUUAAAGUUAUUGAUUAUAUACGCCGGUCAAUUCAACGGGACACCUUGUUUGUGUUUGUCAACAGUGCAUUCUCACCAG